rnacentral:lncRNA from 1 species
UAUCCACUUUAUUUCUUUUCUUUCAACUUUUGGCUGGUUUCUCUCAGCCAAAGACUUGUCCUUUGUCUCUAGAGCAUUAUUCCUUGUCUCUAGAGCAUCAUCAUGUUCUUGUCACGCAAGUUUUCUUCACCUUAUCUUGAUUCUUUCAGAUCUGAUCUGAAAAUACACUGUACAAGUAUCGCAGAUUGGCCUUUGAAGGACUGGUCU